AUGGCGCGUUGUCCGGUUGCGGCUCAUGCUCAAGCCAUGGUUGAGCCUGGUGGUCGUGGCCGUGGCAGUGGGCGGUCUGCUGGUCGUCAUGGACGAGCCACUGGCCGUGGAGGUUCUAAUAUAGUGUGUGCCCCUGUUUCUGAUCAUGUCGCUGCUUGCUGGGUUCCUGCCGCUGGAGGUGAGCCUCUUGACAGGCGUAGGGGUGUGAGUCGACGGGUGCCUGCAGCUGGAGCUGAGCCCAUACCCAGGCGUGGGCAUGGCGCUCGGCAGAUGCCUGCUGCUGGGCAUGGCGCCAUACCUCGGUCAAGUGGUAGGGGUGUUCGUGGCCGUGUCCCUGGUCGUGGUGCUGAUUCUGGGCAUGCAGCCGCUGCUAUACAUGUGUCUGCCCCUAGUCGUUCUGCUGGUCCUGGGUACGCUGCCGCUCCUAGGCGUGUGUUGGUCCCUGAGAUUGCUAGACGUUACGUGCCACGCCAGCCUGUUGGGGGUUCUCCUCGAAGCCCUACAAAGAUUGUUGUUCAAGGGCCUUUGCCAAAGGAUUGGCAAGGUUUCUCAGUCAAGUUUGCCGAGUCCCUUAAAGGAUCCCCGGCCUAUCUCCGGGAGCUCCUUCGAUUCGAUGGUACUUCUCGUGCUAAAAAAUUCAUCCGGACUAUACGUGAGUACAACUGUAUAUUCGCUUUCACUUCGAUGGGUGCUACCAUUGAACGCUCGUUUGGUGGCAGCCGUGGACCUAAGAUUUUUAAGAUCAGUGGUCAAGUGUCUCAUCAUAUUGGUUCGUUGGUGCCUAGCGGUGAUGAUACCCCUAAGUUUGUUGAGUUGUAUAUACAUGACCCAGCUAAUGAGAUUAGACAUAGGAUGAAUGCCUUAAAUCUAGAGGAUAAGCCUACUAGGGGUGUGGAUGAGAGUAUUGUGGUUGGUCUUAGAGACAUGCUUAAUGAGUUUAACCCAUUGGUACAGACCUUUAGGGAGGCAAGUAAGAUGAUAGAGGAUCAUGGUGAUGAACCAAUCGAGGAUAUCUCGAUUCGUAUUAUUGGACCUUCGGAGGGCGAUAGUCCACAAUUUAGUUUGCCUACAACCACUGGGCUUGCUGCUUUAGUUGUCGGUGGUGGCUUCACGUUAGAGGCAUCUUCUUGGGAUAUUGUUGUUUGCAGUCGUUCUAACGGUUUGCAGCAGAUAUCUUCUUUGAACACUGCAUUCAUGCCUCUGCAAUACCCAUUGCUUUUCCCUUAUGGAGAGAGAGGGUUCCAGGUGAAUGUUCCUCACUUGAUUGUUCCUGAAGAAGAUGAUGAUGAUGGACCUAUAGAUCCUAAUCUUGCACCUGGAAGUCCGACCGUUGAGGCAUCCUCUCCAUACCCUUCUGCGGGUGGUGAUGCUUCCGCAAAUAGUCGGAAUAGGAUGACCAUGCAGGAUUACUAUCGUUUUAUGUGCCAUUACAAGGGUGAUCAGCCCAAUCCAUAUAUAUGUUAUGGUCUCCUCUCCUCUCAGUCGGUUGUCGAUGCACGUGCAUGCAUCGAUGAAAGUAGACUUUGGUAUAUCAUAAGAAAUCAGGACAUGCUUAGAUCAGAGCACAUGCAGGGUAUUACUGAUGCGGUAGGUGAUGGGUGUGUUGAUGGUGAUGCUCUUGGGAAGAGGACCAUUGUACCUUCCAGUCACAUAGGCGGUCAUCGGUACUUCCAUGAAAAUUUCCAUGAUGGCCUUGCCGUUUGUCGGGUGCACGGUCUCCCUGACAUAUUUGCCACUUUCACUUGGAAUCCCAAGUGGCCUGAGAUCACCAGUGCAUUGGAACCAGGUCAGACACCUUCUGAUAGGGCAUAUAUUGUUGUUAGGGUCUAUCACACGAAGCUCACCGAGUACUUGGACGAGAUUAAGUCAGGCCUAUCUUUUGGCCCCAUUACGGCUGGUAUUGCGACUGCUGUGCUAUGUGUGUAG
rnacentral:rRNA from 1 species